rnacentral:rRNA from 1 species
UGGGGGAUAUUGCACAAUGGGCGCAAGCCUGAUGCAGCGACGCCGCGUGGGUGAUGAAGGCCUUCGGGUUGUAAACUUCUUUUGCUCUGAACAAGGCGCACCAUGGGGUGUGUUGAGUGUAGGGGUUGAUUAGCGCCGGCUAACUACGUGCCAGCAGCCGCGGUACUACGUAGGGCGCGAGCGUUGUCCGGAAUUAUUGUGCGUAAAGGGCUUGUAGGUGGCUGGUUGCGUCUGUCGUGAAAGCUCAUGGCUUAACUGUGGGUUUGCGGUGGGUACGGGCUGGCUUGAGUGCAGUAGGGGAGGCUGGAAUUCCUGGUGUAGCGGUGGAAUGCGCAGAUAUCAGGAGGAAUACCGGUGGCGAAGGCGGGUCUCUGGGCUGUUACUGACACUGAGGAGCGAAAGCAUGGGGAGCGAACAGG